rnacentral:tRNA from 1 species
UCUCUGAUAGUAUAUCGGUUAGUACAUGCGCCUGUCAUACGAUGAGAACACAUUGGAUUUCGCGCGAAAGCUGGGUUCGACUCCCAGUCAGAGAG